UACGUAGGGUGCAAGCGUUGUCCGGAAUUAUUGGGCGUAAAGAGCUCGUAGGCGGUUUGUCGCGUCUGCUGUGAAAACCUGAGGCUCAACCUCGGGCUUGCAGUGGGUACGGGCAGACUAGAGUGCGGUAGGGGUGACUGGAAUUCCUGGUGUAGCGGUGGAAUGCGCAGAUAUCAGGAGGAACACCGAUGGCGAAGGCAGGUCACUGGGCCGCAACUGACGCU
rnacentral:rRNA from 1 species